CCUACGUGUGGCAGCAGUGAGGAAUAUUGGUCAAUGGGCGCGAGCCUGAACCAGCCAAGUAGCGUGAAGGAUGACUGCCCUACGGGUUGUAGACUUCUUUUAUAAAGGAAUAAAGUGAGGCCCGUGUGCCUUUUUGUAUGUACUUUAUGAAUAAGGAUCGGCUAACGCCGUGCCAGCAGCCGCGGUAAUACGGAGGAUCCGAGCGUUAUCCGGAUUUAUUGGGUUUAAAGGGAGCGUAGAUGGGUUGUUAAGUCAGUUGUGAAAGUUUGCGGCUCAACCGUAAAAUUGCCAUUGAUACUGGCAGUCUUGAGUACAGGUGAUGUAGGCGGAAUUCGUGGUGUAGCGGUGAAAUGCUUAGAUAUCACGAAGAACUCCGAUUGCGAAGGCAGCUUACUAAACUGCCACUGACAUUGAUGCUCGAAAGUGUGGGUAUCAAACAGGAUUAGAUACCCUAGUAGUC
rnacentral:rRNA from 1 species